GUCGCGGGGUAGAGCAGCGUGGUAGCUCGCAAGGCUCAUAACCUUGAGGUCACGGGUUCAAAUCCCAUCUCCGCAAUA
rnacentral:tRNA from 1 species